CCUACGGGGGGCAGCAGUCGAGAAUCUUCCGCAAUGGACGAAAGUCUGACGGAGCGACGCCGCGUGAUCGAUGAAGUCCUUAGGGAUGUAAAGAUCUUUUAUCAAGGAGGAAGUUUAUUGACGUUACUUGAUGAAUAAGAGGUUGCUAAACUCGUGCCAGCAGCAGCGGGAAUACGAGUGCCGCAAGCGUUAUCCGGAAUUAUUGGGCGUAAAGGGUGUGUAGGCGGAUUUGUUAGUCUUUUGUUAAAGCUCCCGGCUCAACUGGGAAAAAGCAAGAGAAACGGCAAGUCUAGAGAGUGUACGGGGUUUGCGGACCUCAUGGUGUCGGGGUGAACUCCGUUGCUAUCAUGGGAAACCCCAAACGCGAAGGCAGCAACCUGGUACACUUCUGCCGCUGGGACCCGAAGGCGUGGGUGGCGAAGGGGAUUGGUUCCCCCGGUCGU
rnacentral:rRNA from 1 species